rnacentral:rRNA from 1 species
AGAGUUUGAUCCUGGCUCAGGAUGAACGCUAGCGACAGGCCUAACACAUGCAAGUCGAGGGGCAGCACAUGCGUAGCAAUACAAUGGUGGCGACCGGCGCACGGGUGAGUAACACGUAUGCAACCUACCUGUAAGAGGGGAAUAACCCGGAGAAAUUCGGAUUAAUACCGCAUAAAACUGUGAAUCCGCAUGGAUUUACAUUUAAACAUUUAUGGCUUACAGAUGGGCAUGCGUAUGAUUAGCUAGUUGGUGAGGUAACGGCUCACCAAGGCAACGAUCAUUAGGGGUUCUGAGAGGAAGGUCCCCCACACUGGUACUGAGACACGGACCAGACUCCUACGGGAGGCAGCAGUGAGGAAUAUUGGUCAAUGGGCGAGAGCCUGAACCAGCCAAGUCGCGUGAAGGAAGAAGGUUCUAUGGAUUGUAAACUUCUUUUGUAAGGGAAUAAAAAGAGUUACGUGUAACUUAUUGUAUGUACUUUACGAAUAAGGAUCGGCUAACUCCGUGCCAGCAGCCGCGGUAA